UACGAAGGGGGCUAGCGUUGCUCGGAAUCACUGGGCGUAAAGCGCACGUAGGCGGAUCUUUAAGUCAGGGGUGAAAGCCCAAGGCUCAACCUUGGAAUUGCCUUUGAUACUGAGGGCCUUGAGACCGGAAGAGGUCGGCGGAACUGCGAGUGUAGAGGUGAAAUUCGUAGAUAUUCGCAAGAACACCAGUGGCGAAGGCGGCUUACUGGUCCGGUUCUGACGCUGAGGCGCGAAAGCGUGGGGAGCAAACAGG
rnacentral:rRNA from 1 species